GACGGGGGCCCGCACAAGCGGAGGAGCAUGUGGUUUAAUUCGAUGAUACGCGAGGAACCUUACCCGGGCUUGAAAGUUAGUGAAUGAUCCAGAGACGGAUCAGUCCUUCGGGACACGAAACUAGGUGCUGCAUGGCUGUCGUCAGCUCGUG
rnacentral:ncRNA from 1 species